ensembl:lncRNA
GACAAUUCCCUUUUACUCAGAGCUCAGAAACGCCAAUGGACACCACCUGUGAAGUAGGAUGUUUGCACAUUCUAAAAUCAACUACUUGAGUAACAGUGGUCUCAGCUGUGUGUAGUUCAAAUGACCACACCUGCCUCAGGAGGCUCUCAACACACAAGAGGUGAACUUUAAGUCCGAAGCAUAUUUAAUGCAGAUUUUCCAUAGGAAGGAUCAUUUGCAUUAUGUGAAAUUGUCUUUCACUUUACUUGAACCAAACCAAGACAAAUGUGUCAGGUAUUUUGUGCCAGCAGUAAGAAAUCUGACUAAUACAACUAUUAUAUAUUGUGAAAUAGAAUGGAAACUUAGUUCUCACAGUUCUGGAGGCUGGGAUGUUCAAGGUCAGUGACACUGUUUGAUUUCUGUUAAAGGCCUUCUUGGCAUGACUUCAUAUGGCAGAAGGGAUGUGUCUUAGUUACUUUCUCAUUGCUGGGACAAAAUACCAGAUACUUAC